rnacentral:misc_RNA from 1 species
UUUCCGUAGGUGAACCUGCGGAAGGAUCAUUACUGACUAAACGAGGUGCGAGGUCUGUCGCUCACCCGAAAGGUCGUACACGCUCGCUUGUUUGCACACACCUCCAUCUAUCCCCUAUGUCCACCUCCGCGUGUGUCCCCCUGUGGCUAGACCGGAGGGGGGCUUACGUUUACAGACAAUCUUUGUAAGCAGUGUAGUAUUUAUUGUUUGUUUUUGCAAUCACGUGAUCAAUACAACUUUCAACAACGGAUCUCUUGGCUCUC